UUGCUAAGGCCGAUGGCGACCGGCGCACGGGUGAGUAACACGUAUCCAACCUGCCGUCUACUCUUGGACAGCCUUCUGAAAGGAAGAUUAAUACAAGAUGGCAUCAUGAGUCCGCAUGUUCACAUGAUUAAAGGUAUUCCGGUAGACGAUGGGGAUGCGUUCCAUUAGAUAGUAGGCGGGGUAACGGCCCACCUAGUCUUCGAUGGAUAGGGGUUCUGAGAGGAAGGUCCCCCACAUUGGAACUGAGACACGGUCCAAACUCCUACGGGAGGCAGCAGUGAGGAAUAUUGGUCAAUGGGCGAGAGCCUGAACCAGCCAAGUAGCGUGAAGGAUGACUGCCCUAUGGGUUGUAAACUUCUUUUAUAAAGGAAUAAAGUCGGGUAUGGAUACCCGUUUGCAUGUACUUUAUGAAUAAGGAUCGGCUAACUCCGUGCCAGCAGCCGCGGUAAUACGGAGGAUCCGAGCGUUAUCCGGAUUUAUUGGGUUUAAAGGGAGCGUAGAUGGAUGUUUAAGUCAGUUGUGAAAGUUUGCGGCGCAACCGUAAAAUUGCAGUUGAUACUGGAUAUCUUGAGUGCAGUUGAGGCAGGCGGAAUUCGUGGUGUAGCGGUGAAAUGCUUAGAUAUCACGAAGAACUCCGAUUGCGAAGGCAGCCUGCUAAGCUGCAACUGACAUUGAGGCUCGAAAGUGUGGGUAUCAAACAGGAUUAGAUACCCUGGUAGUCCACACGGUAAACGAUGAAUACUCGCUGUUUGCGAUAUACUGCAAGCGGCCAAGCGAAAGCGUUAAGUAUUCCACCUGGGGAGUACGCCGGCAACGGUGAAACUCAAAGGAAUUGACGGGGGCCCGCACAAGCGGAGGAACAUGUGGUUUAAUUCGAUGAUACGCGAGGAACCUUACCCGGGCUUAAAUUGCAGAUGAAUUACGGUGAAAGCCGUAAGCCGCAAGGCAUCUGUGAAGGUGCUGCAUGGUUGUCGUCAGCUCGUGCCGUGAGGUGUCGGCUUAAGUGCCAUAACGAGCGCAACCCUUGUUGUCAGUUACUAACAGGUUCCGCUGAGGACUCUGACAAGACUGCCAUCGUAAGAUGUGAGGAAGGUGGGGAUGACGUCAAAUCAGCACGGCCCUUACGUCCGGGGCUACACACGUGUUACAAUGGGGGGUACAGAGGGCCGCUACCACGCGAGUGGAUGCCAAUCCCCAAAACCUCUCUCAGUUCGGACUGGAGUCUGCAACCCGACUCCACGAAGCUGGAUUCGCUAGUAAUCGCGCAUCAGCCACGGCGCGGUGAAUACGUUCCCGGGCCUUGUACACACCGCCCGUCAAGCCAUGGGAGCCGGGGGUACCUGAAGUGCGUAACCGCGAGGAGCGCCCUAGGGUAAAACUGGUGA
rnacentral:rRNA from 1 species